rnacentral:rRNA from 1 species
AAAGGAAUUGACGGGGACCCGCACAAGCGGUGGAGCAUGUGGUUUAAUUCGACGCAACGCGAAGAACCUUACCUGGAUUUGACAUCCUCUGCUCGCCAUGGAAACAUGGUUUUCUAUGCUUGCAUAGACAGAGUGACAGGUGCUGCAUGGCUGUCGUCAGCUCGUGUCGUGAGAUGUUCGGUUAAGUCCGGCAACGAGCGCAACCCCUGUUUUUAGUUGCCAUUAUUAAGUUAGGCACUCUAAAAAUACUGCCUCGGUUAACGGGGAGGAAGGUGGGGAUGACGUCAAGUCCUCAUGGCCUUUAUAUCCAGGGCUACACACGUGCUACAAUGGGCUGUACAAAGAGUUGCCACUUCGCGAGAAGGAGCUAAUCUCAAAAAGCAGUUCUCAGUUCGGAUUGGAGUCUGCAACUCGACUCCAUGAAGUUGGAAUCGCUAGUAAUCGUGGAUCAGCAUGCCACGGUGAAUACGUUCCCGGGUCUUGUACACACCGCCCGU